AUUGAACGCUGGCGGCAUGCUUUACACAUGCAAGUCGAACGGCAGCGGGGACUUCGGUCCGCCGGCGAGUGGCGAACGGGUGAGUAAUGCAUCGGAACGUGCCUAUCAGUGGGGGAUAACGCUUCGAAAGGAGUGCUAAUACCGCAUAUUCUCCGAGGAGGAAAGCAGGGGACCUUCGGGCCUUGCGCUGAUAGAGCGGCCGAUGUCGGAUUAGCUAGUUGGUGAGGUAAAGGCUCACCAAGGCGACGAUCCGUAGCGGGUCUGAAAGGAUGAUCCGCCACACGGGGACUGAGACACGGCCCAGACUCCUAAGGGAGGCAGCAGUGGGGAAUUUUGGACAAUGGGCGAAAGCCUGAUCCAGCCAUGCCGCGUGAGUGAAGAAGGCCUUCGGGUUGUAAAGCUCUUUUGUCCGGGAGGAAAUCCUGGCCUCUAAUACAGGUCGGGGAUGACAGUACUGGAAGAAUAAGCACCGGCUAACUACGUGCCAGCAGCCGCGGUAACAC
rnacentral:rRNA from 1 species